rnacentral:rRNA from 1 species
GGAGAUCCUCAACAGUCAAUCAUUGGCGACAGCGAGCACUUUGCCGCCGACUGUAUGGCCUUCUGUAAUUGUGCACAUCAUGCCUCGAGUCAUAAGCCUAUGGAGGAAAACAACACAAGAAGAUAGCUUGACGCCGAUGUGCGUGGGGGUGGCUGGCGGCGGAGCUUGCCGAUCCUGGAGACGAAGGGCGCACGCAGCAGCGGCCAUAGCCGAGCCCGUCGCGGCUCCGCCCCGAGCUGUGCGUGGCAGCGGAUCCGCGGCGGCGGCGGCGGCGGCGUCCUGGGGAUCCUGAUCCGCGACGAGCAACGUAACCGAGGCGUCGGUGGUAGCGGUGUCCUCGUGAUCGACGACGGCUGCGUCUGCCCGGAUCGGCGUCGGCGGAUGCGGUUGCGUAUCCUCGGGAGACGAGGAGGAGCGGAUCGGAGGGCGGCGGCAGCGAGAUCGCACGAGAGGAGGGUGGCUCUGUGUCCUGGAC